rnacentral:lncRNA from 1 species
UACAGUCUCCUGACCUGAAGACCUGGAGCUGAACAAGCGAAGGAGGAAACCGGGNCCCGUUCCAUAAACAGAGACAGAUAUGAGGGGGAGGAAGGAGGCACUGCUAGCACUUAACAUUUUUAACUUCUUGACCAAGUUUCUUGUGGCCAAGGUUAAUUCUGGACAAAAUAGACUGAAAUCAACCAAUAAGCUUCCUCAGGGGCCUGCUUGAUCCACUUCAGAUUCUUACCCUGUUUUAUGAGAGGUUGAAAAAGGUUCAAGACCUGGUUGUAUUCCACUGCUCCCACCGACAGCUAAGGAACCAGUUUUUGGCGUCUGGUUUGUCUGUUGUUUUACUGCUGACCUUCAGAUCAACUUUCACCCCUGACCCUGGGAGGCAUCUAUCAUGACAAGAGGCUGUUUAACACAAAUGGUGCCCAUUUAUAGGGGAAGAGACAGUCAGAAGAUUUCCUUUUUAUGAAGAAUUUGGGUUUCUUUUUUUUUUCUACCCCUCUUUUCUCAGUCACCACAGGUGAAAUCCCUCCCAGCAGCUGGCUUAUGAAAUAAUGUGAGGGGAGGCCUUAAUGAGCUGAAAGCACCCUCAGCUGGAGAUAAAUAUAUGCAAAUGAGAUGCACAAACAAAGGCGCCUGGACAGAGAAAUAUCUGCAAUUCCAGCAAA